GACGAACGCUGGCGGCGUGCUUAACACAUGCAAGUCGAACGGAAAGGCCCUGCUUUUGUGGGGUGCUCGAGUGGCGAACGGGUGAGUAACACGUGAGUAACCUGCCCUUGACUUUGGGAUAACUUCAGGAAACUGGGGCUAAUACCGGAUAGGAGCUCCUGCUGCAUGGUGGGGGUUGGAAAGUUUCGGCGGUUGGGGAUGGACUCGCGGCUUAUCAGCUUGUUGGUGGGGUAGUGGCUUACCAAGGCUUUGACGGGUAGCCGGCCUGAGAGGGUGACCGGCCAAAUGGGGACUGAGAUACGGCCCAGACGCCAACGGGAGGCAGCAGUGGGGAAUAUUGCACAAUGGGCGGAAGCCUGAUGCAGAAACGCCGCGUGCGGGAUGACGGCCUUCGGGUUGUAAACCGCUUUCGCCUGUGACGAAGCGUGAGUGACGGUAAUGGGUAAAGAAGCACCGGCUAACUACGUG
rnacentral:rRNA from 1 species